ACGUGGGGUAUGUCACGACUGAUCCCACACCUGACCCACUGGGUGUCCGCUCCCCGGCCACGUGGGGUAUGUCACGACUGAUCCCACACCUGACCCACUGGGUGUCUGCUCCCCGGCCACGUGGGAUAUGUCACGACUGAUCCCACAUCUGAUCCACUGGGUGUCUGCUCCCCGACCACAUAGGAUAUGUCUUGACCAAUUCAAACAAAGCCUGGAAGUCUGCUUGGCAGGCCCAUUGGAGCCUUUGCUGGCAGGUGGUAAAGUGACCUCAGCCCUGCCUCUCCUGCCUCAGAAGAAGCAGGGUGCCUGUGACUGGGUUUUCCUGUUUUUCCCGAGCCUGGGGAUUCAUUCCUUGGUGGUUUUCAUUGCCUUGGAGCUGGGUCAGCAGCCAGAGUCUGUGGUGGUGGAUUUGUGCUUGGAGACCAGCCAGAAGUUGUUCUGAGCUAUCUGGGGGACAUGAAGACUCGGAUGGCUAGACGAUGGGGUUUUGCUCUAAACUCUUCACUGGAGGGAUCUAUUCAGCGUGUCCGCCAGCUUCCCUGGUGUCUGGUGCCAUUGGCCGUGUGCUCUGUCCUGUUCACAGGGGACCCGUGAGAGAUGGACUGCCUGGAAGCCCUGGGGUGGGGCGCCUGACCUCUCAGCACCUUAGGCCGGGGUGUCAGGCCCACAGCACCCCCAUAAAAAUACAAUCAAAUGGAUAAUAUCCCACUUUAAAAUGAAGGCAUUUUGUGGCCCAGGGCCAUUCCUGUUUGCGUUUGACUCUGCUGCUUUAGGCAGGUAUCUCAGAGUGGCAGAGAAGGUACCCACCUGCGUUGGUACAGGGAGUUCCCUAGACAGUGAAGUCAGAUUUCCAGCCCCCAUGCCUGUGGUGACCAGUGAAUCAGGCAGAAGUCGCCCUUGGGCUGUGAGGGUGUCAGAAGGUGCUGAGAAUCACAUGGACCUUUGUGCCCCCGGUAAGACAGUAACCAGCCCGAGGGACUGAGCCACGUGAGCCUCGGUGAAACCGGAGACCAAAAGGUUGCUGCUCAGUUGCGGGGGGAUUCCUCAUGGAGCGCUGGCUUCCUGGUGUGGCCCCAAGUCACAAGUAGCAGGGUGGACAGAGGCCUUGGCCCCCUCCCCUCCCCCUGAGGGAAGGAAAUCCUUCUUUGUAGCUGGAAUACCUAUGUUUGUUUUACAAUUCUCUUG